UAACGAGAUGUGGAUGCGCAACUAAAUA
rnacentral:piRNA from 1 species